rnacentral:rRNA from 1 species
UUAGAGUUUGAUUCCUGGCUCAGAGCGAACGCUGGCGGCAGGCUUAACACAUGCAAGUCGAGCGGGCCCUUCGGGGUCAGCGGCAGACGGGUGAGUAACACGUGGGAACGUACCCUUUGGUUCGGAAUAACGCUGGGAAACUAGCGCUAAUACCGGAUACGCCCUUUUUGGGGAAAGGCUUGCUGCCGAAGGAUCGGCCCGCGUCUGAUUAGCUAGUUGGUGGGGUAAUGGCCUACCAAGGCGACGAUCAGUAGCUGGUCUGAGAGGAUGAUCAGCCACACUGGGACUGAGACACGGCCCAGACUCCUACGGGAGGCAGCAGUGGGGAAUAUUGGACAAUGGGCGCAAGCCUGAUCCAGCCAUGCCGCGUGAGUGAUGAAGGCCUUAGGGUUGUAAAGCUCUUUUGUCCGGGACGAUAAUGACGNACCGGAAGAAUAAGCCCC